GUAGUCAUAUGCUUGUCUCAAAGAUUAAGCCAUGCAUGUCUAAGUAUAAGCAAUCUAUACAGUGAAACUGCGAAUGGCUCAUUAAAUCAGUUAUCGUUUAUUUGAUAGUACCUUACUACUUGGAUAACCGUGGUAAUUCUAGAGCUAAUACAUGCUAAAAACCCCGACUUCGGAAGGGGUGUAUUUAUUAGAUAAAAAACCAAUGCUCUUCGGGGCUCCUUGGUGAUUCAUAAUAACUUAACGAAUCGCAUGGCCUUGUGCCGGCGAUGGUUCAUUCAAAUUUCUGCCCUAUCAACUUUCGAUGGUAGGAUAGUGGCCUACCAUGGUUUCAACGGGUAACGGGGAAUA
rnacentral:rRNA from 1 species